rnacentral:ncRNA from 2 species
UGAUACCAGGGUCAAAAGGUCUAAAAUCCGAUGAGGGCUUGCAUGAAGGAGGAUUAUUGAACUUGGGACCCGCCUAAAACAUGAGUAAGGAGCCAUUUUUUGAAGAUAAAUGAGCGGAUUACGAAUGUUUUAAGAAUUGCGGGAGUUGCAAAGCACGUAGCAAUUCGGUAUCA